CAGGGAGACAACAAAAUGUUUAAUAUUAUUAUUUUGUCACCUUAGGUCGAUCGGUAUCUCACGUUCUUAAAUUUAUUAAGGAUUUCAUUUCCUAAGUUUUUCUAGGUCACACCCAUUUAUUUUCCCUGGGCCAUUAGCUCAGGUGGUUAGAGCGCACCCCUGAUAAGGGUGAGGUCCCUGGUUCAAGUCCAGGAUGGCCCAUAUCUCUAUGUUGGGGGUAUAGCUCAGUUGGUAGAGCGCCUGCUUUGCAAGCAGGAUGUCAGCGGUUCGAGUCCGCUUACCUCCACUGAUUUACCGCCUCUUCCAUAACUGGUAGAAGGGAAAUGUUUUGAGUCGUGAUCAAAUUCUGAACGAAUCUAGCUUCCUGAUGUAAUCAUUAAGAUGCUGGACUCAUUGAAUUAAUUUCAUUGUUUUCAGAGAACCUUGACAACUGCAUAGAUUAUUUUAAAGACAAUAAGCAUCUUUAAUGAUGCAGAUUUAUUAUUUGUGCGAAUGCAUUAAUAACAAUUCUAUUAAGCUGAUGCUUCAAUUUUGAAGUUAUU
rnacentral:tRNA from 1 species